GUAGGUGAACCUGCGGAAGGAUCAUUAAAAAUGAAGCCGGGAAACCGGUCCUUCUAACCCUUGAUUAUCUUAAUUUGUUGCUUUGGUGGGCCGCGCAAGCACUGGCUUCGGCUGGUGAGUGCCCGCCAGAGAACCCAAAACUCUGAAUUACAGUGUCGUCUGAGUACUAUAAAAUAGUUAAAACUUUCAACAACGGAUCUCUUGGUUCUG
rnacentral:misc_RNA from 1 species